CGUGUCAUGGCGGCAGUUUUGAAAAUGUUAACGGCGUCGAAGACCGAAAAGAAUAUAAACGUAAAGCCAGGGAGGAGGUUAUUCAGAAGACGAAGCAGCAGUAUGAGAAGGAGGAGAAGAGGAAGGAGAUGAAGAGACAGAGAAGAGAGAACACCUGGAUGCUCCCUGAAGUUGACCUCAGACUGCAGCAGCUAGAACAGGAGGUUUUCGGGCAAAAGCAAGAUGAAGUAAGAGAAGGAGGAGAAGAGAGCUCAGGGAGGAGAAGAGAGCUCAGGGAGGAGAAGAGAGCUC